GGGGUUGUAGUCUAGUCUGGCAGGAUUCAGGCUUCGGGAGCCUGCGACCCGCGUUCAAAUCGCGGCAGCCCCA
rnacentral:tRNA from 1 species